rnacentral:rRNA from 1 species
AGCGUAGGCGGACUUUUAAGUAGGAUGUGAAAUACUCGGGCUCAACCUGAGUGCUGCAUUCCAAACUGGAAGUCUAGAGUGCAGGAGGGGAAAGUGGAAUUCCUAGUGUAGCGGUGAAAUGCGUAGAUAUUAGGAAGAACACCGGUGGCGAAGGCGACUUUCUGGACUGUAACUGACGCUGAGGCUCGAAAGCGUGGGGAGCGAACA